AGCAGCCGCGGUAAUUCCAGCUCCAAUAGCGUAUAUUAAAGUUGUUGCAGUUAAAAAGCUCGUAGUUGAAUUUCGGGGUCAGUAGAUUGGUCGUGCCACUGGUAUGUACUGGUCUCACUGGCUCCUCCUUCCUGAUGAACCGUAAUGCCAUUAAUUUGGUGUUGCGGGGAGACUGGACUGUUACUUUGAGAAAAUUAGAGUGUUUAAAGCAGGCUAACGCUUGAAUACAUUAGCAUGGAAUAAUGAAAUAGGACGUUCGAUCUUAUUUUGUUGGUUUCUAAGAUUGACGUAAUGAUUAAUAGGGAUAGUUGGGGGCAUUAGUAUUCAAUUGUCAGAGGUGAAAUUCUUGGAGUUAU
rnacentral:rRNA from 1 species